AUUGAACGCUGGCGGCAGGCCUAACACAUGCAAGUCGAACGAGUGGCGGACGGGUGAGUAAUGUCUGGGAAACUGCCUGAUGGAGGGGGAUAACUACUGGAAACUGUAGCUAAUACCGCUUACCAUCAGAUGAGCCCACAGGGGAGUAGCUAGUUGGUGGGGUAAAGGCUCACCAAGCCGACGAUCCCUAGCUGGUCUGAGAGGAUGACCAGCCACACUGGGACUGAGACACGGCCCAGACUCCUACGGGAGGCAGCAGUGGGGAAUAUUCCGCAAUGGGCGCAAGCCUGAUGCAGCCAUGCCGCGUGAGUGAAGAAGGCCUUCGGGUUGUAAAGUUCUUUCAGCGGGGAGGCGUUAACCGCAGAAGAAGCACCGGCUAACUCCGUGCCAGCAGCCGCGGUAAUUC
rnacentral:rRNA from 1 species